rnacentral:pre_miRNA from 1 species
GAGAUGUAGCGAUGUUGGUGAGGUUCAAUCCGAAGACGCUUUUACGUCGGAAAAAUCCGUAGAAACGAUCUCAGGUUGAGCCGCGCCAAUAUCACUUCUCCCUCU